AGACCCGAAACCCGGUGAUCUAGCCAUGGGCAGGUUGAAGGUUGGGUAACACUAACUGGAGGACCGAACCGACUAAUGUUGAAAAAUUAGCGGAUGACCUGUGGCUGGGGGUGAAAGGCCAAUCAAACCGGGAGAUAGCUGGUUCUCCCCGAAAGCUAUUUAGGUAGCGCCUCGUGAAUUCAUCUCCGGGGGUAGAGCACUGUUUCGGCUAGGGGGCCAUCCCGGCUUACCAACCCGAUGCAAACUGCGAAUACCGGAGAAUGUUAUCACGGGAGACACACGGCGGGUGCUAACGUCCGUCGUGAAGAGGGAAACAACCCAGACCGCCAGCUAAGGUCCCAAAGUCAUGGUUAAGUGGGAAACGAUGUGGGAAGGCCCAGACAGCCAGGAUGUUGGCUUAGAAGCAGCCAUCAUUUAAAGAAAGCGUAAUAGCUCACUGGUCGAGUCGGCCUGCGCGGAAGAUGUAACGGGGCUAAACCAUGCACCGAAGCUGCGGCAGCGAACGUAUCACCCAAGACAACUUUACGGAGUUGGCGAUUGACGGAGCGAAGCGACGUCAAAGCGUUCAUUAAAGUCGAGUUGGCUUAGGGAUACGUUCGUUGGGUAGGGGAGCGUUCUGUAAGCCUGUGAAGGUGUGUCGUGAGGCAUGCUGGAGGUAUCAGAAGUGCGAAUGCUGACAUAAGUAACGAUAAAGCGGGUGAAAAGCCCGCUCGCCGGAAGACCAAGGGUUCCUGUCCAACGUUAAUCGGGGCAGGGUGAGUCGACCCCUAAGGCGAGGCCGAAAGGCGUAGUCGAUGGGAAACGGGUUAAUAUUCCCGUACUUGGUGUUACUGCGAAGGGGGGACGGAGAAGGCUAUGUUGGCCGGGCGACGGUUGUCCCGGUUUAAGCGUGUAGGUGUGUGUUCCAGGUAAAUCCGGUUCACUUUAACACUGAGGCGUGACGACGAGGCACUACGGUGCUGAAGCAACAAAUGCCCUGCUUCCAGGAAAAGCCUCUAAGCAUCAGGUAACACGAAAUCGUACCCCAAACCGACACAGGUGGUCAGGUAGAGAAUACCAAGGCGCUUGAGAGAACUCGGGUGAAGGAACUAGGCAAAAUGGUGCCGUAACUUCGGGAGAAGGCACGCUGACACGUAGGUGAAGUGAUUUACUCAUGGAGCUGAAGUCAGUCGAAGAUACCAGCUGGCUGCAACUGUUUAUUAAAAACACAGCACUGUGCAAACACGAAAGUGGACGUAUACGGUGUGACGCCUGCCCGGUGCCGGAAGGUUAAUUGAUGGGGUCAGCGUAAGCGAAGCUCCUGAUCGAAGCCCCGGUAAACGGCGGCCGUAACUAUAACGGUCCUAAGGUAGCGAAAUUCCUUGUCGGGUAAGUUCCGACCUGCACGAAUGGCGUAAUGAUGGCCAGGCUGUCUCCACCCGAGACUCAGUGAAAUUGAACUCGCUGUGAAGAUGCAGUGUACCCGCGGCAAGACGGAAAGACCCCGUGAACCUUUACUAUAGCUUGACACUGAACAUUGAGCCUUGAUGUGUAGGAUAGGUGGGAGGCUUUGAAGUGUGGACGCCAGUCUGCAUGGAGCCGACCUUGAAAUACCACCCUUUAAUGUUUGAUGUUCUAACGUGGACCCGUAAUCCGGGUUGCGGACAGUGUCUGGUGGGUAGUUUGACUGGGGCGGUCUCCUCCUAAAGAGUAACGGAGGAGCACGAAGGUUGGCUAAUCCUGGUCGGACAUCAGGAGGUUAGUGCAAUGGCAUAAGCCAGCUUGACUGCGAGCGUGACGGCGCGAGCAGGUGCGAAAGCAGGUCAUAGUGAUCCGGUGGUUCUGAAUGGAAGGGCCAUCGCUCAACGGAUAAAAGGUACUCCGGGGAUAACAGGCUGAUACCGCCCAAGAGUUCAUAUCGACGGCGGUGUUUGGCACCUCGAUGUCGGCUCAUCACAUCCUGGGGCUGAAGUAGGUCCCAAGGGUAUGGCUGUUCGCCAUUUAAAGUGGUACGCGAGCUGGGUUUAGAACGUCGUGAGACAGUUCGGUCCCUAUCUGCCGUGGGCGCUGGAGAACUGAGGGGGGCUGCUCCUAGUACGAGAGGACCGGAGUGGACGCAUCACUGGUGUUCGGGUUGUCAUGCCAAUGGCACUGCCCGGUAGCUAAAUGCGGAAGAGAUAAGUGCUGAAAGCAUCUAAGCACGAAACUUGCCCCGA
rnacentral:rRNA from 2 species